AAACUGUAACUGGGCUGGUCCGAAGGGAAGGAAACCCUAACCUAAUUGUUGCCGCACUAUAUAAAUACUGAUAACUCACAAAUCCAGAAACCCUAGCGAUUGACAGAGCCUAUCUUAUCCCUGAACUCUACAAUUAGCGCCUUCUGCUUGAACAAAGGAGUCCUCUUGCCGUGACUGAAAGAUGGCGACCGCUAAGACUGUCAAGGACGUAUCUCCCCACGAAUUCGUCAAGGCUUAUGCUGCACACCUCAAGCGAUCUGGC
rnacentral:misc_RNA from 1 species